rnacentral:misc_RNA from 1 species
GAACUCCAGCAACAAGAACCUCAUCCUGCUUGGUUAACAUAUGCUGAAGACCAUGACAGAAAUUUUGGUUUUUCCUCACAACACUGAAAUGCUCAAGAGACAAUGAAUUUUUUAUUUUUUUUCAAAAUUCUGCUCAUCAAAAUCUUUAAUCCCUGAAUCAAUGUUAAUUGUUUCUUGGACUUGAGAAAACAUGCCACGAUCAUUCUUAAGAAAUUCCUCUGUUCCUCCCUCUAUCUUUUGCUGAAUUUGGAAUUUCUGUUCCAAUUCUUGGGAUAGAUCGUCAAAAUCCAUGAUUCUUGCUUCUGUCUCCAUCACAGUACAAGAGUUUUGUGAAUCCCUUUGUUAAGGAACUAAGAACUCUCUUGGAGUAGGAAGAAUCCUCUGGUCAUUUGCCCCAUUACCUUGCUGUGAUCCGAAGGAAAUUUCCAUUCAAUAUCCCUUUCAACCCUAAUAUCACAUACUUAACUCUCCUAUGGCAUUUUCCAUAGAAUUCAUGAUCUCCUGAACCUCUUUUUCAACCCCUUCCACAUCAUGCCUUACUCCAAUUUGCAGAUUCUUGAAGUC